rnacentral:lncRNA from 1 species
CCGGUCCUCCACAGCCGAGGCUCGCAGGCGGACCCCGCCGACGCCGACGCCGACGCCGCCGUCACUCGGCCCUCGCACGCCUCCAAGGCGUUCCUGGCGCCCGUCGAGAGCAUCACCUCGGCGCCCCCGCUGCCCCCGGAGAGCCGGCCGGCCUCCACCCCGCUCCAGAACAAGUCCGCCGCCGGGCAUGGCAAGUCCCAGAAGCUCUUCCCGGUCCUGGACACCGACUACGACCGCAUCCGGCAGCCCUUCGAGAUUUCCCUCUGGAUCCUGCUGGCCUGCCUGAUGAAGCUNNAGUCCAAUUAGGGGCUCCUACGUUCACAGCCCUUCAACUUAACAAAAAGGUGAGUAAGAGGGAGAGGGACACAAUGGAGGUAUAUAAAAUUACUGUAUGUCACAUGAGCAAGGGGCUGGACUCAAUCAUAGGCCCCUUCCAACUCUGUGAUUCUGUCUGGAAAGAGGGUGCAGGGGGAGGUCUCUUACAAUACUUUUAGCUACUGCCAACUUCAUUAUACUUUGACUAGGCCGAUCCAAAGAGUGGGGGGAGAUAAUAGAGUGGAGAAGAGAAAGUUCUUCUCUAUCUAGCCUACAGAAGAUAAACUACUGUGUUUGCCAUAACAGGUAGUGAUAGUUACCAGCUUGAGGAUCUCUGAAGGGAAAUUAGACAAAUUCAUUUCAGAUAAGGCUAUUAAUAAUGGAUACACAUUUCCUCCGGCGCGAGAGGCACUGUGUCUCCAUAAGUAUCAGCUGCUGGGGAACGUGAGUGGGAGAAUAUUUUUGCCUGCAUGUCCUGCUUCUCAGAGCAAACCAGUUGGCCACUGUGGGAAUAGCAUGAUGGACUACACAGGUGAAUUAGUGAGACUUAUCCAUCACCAGAAAGCCCCCACUGAUUUGCAUAAUAUUGCAUAUGCUGAUGUCUAUGUGCAAAUGCAAAACGUACAAAUGCAAUGUACAGACAAUUUUUAAGAGUCCAAACAGAACUUCAGUGCAUCUCACUUGAGUGUAGAAGACUAUGGCCAGGAAACUUGCAUGUCUGGUGUUGAGUCUCUGGCUACCUAUGUCUUGCUAACUGGAUGAGCAAUGUUAAGGACUCUAAUUGCCGUCCUUAUGGCUCCUGAUUAUUCAGACAUGAACUGGACAGCCAUUCAAACAAAGUGAUGAAAGUUAGUGUUUGUGAUUAUUUUUUUUUAGUGGCCAAAUAGAGGCAUCACCUGCUACUGCCUUCGGAUUAUUAUCUUUUAUGUUUCAAUGUACUGUAUUUUUAAAAUAAAUGUUAACUUUUUCAUUUUCUUAGAAUAAAG